AUACUUACCUGGACGGGGUCAAUGGGUGAUCAAGAAGGCUCAUGGCCUAGGGUAGUGACUUCCAUUGCACGUGGGAAGGGUGCUACCUUAAGGUCUCCUCAAGUAGGAGAGCCUACGUCAUAAUUUGUGGUCGUGGGGGCCUGCGUUCGCGCGGCCCUCUC